rnacentral:rRNA from 1 species
GUCUACAGCCAUACCACCCUGAACAUGCCAAUCUCAUCUGAUCUCAGAAGCUAUGCAGGAUCAGGUUCUAGUUAGUACUUGGAUGGGAGAAAGAUCUUCAGAAGAUACUUCUCAGAGAUAAGCAGAUUGGAGACA